UACGGGGGGGGCAAGCGUUGUUCGGAAUUACUGGGCGUAAAGGGCCAGUAGGCGGCCAACUAAGUCGGAUGUGAAAUCCCCAGGCUUAACCUGGGAACUGCAUCCGAUACUGGAUGGCUUGAAUUCGGGAGAGGGAUGCAGAAUUCCAGGUGUAGCGGUGAAAUGCGUAGAUAUCUGGAGGAAUACCGGUGGCGAAAGCGGCAUCCUGGACCGACAUUGACGCUGAACGGCGAAAGCUAGGGGAGCAAACGGG
rnacentral:rRNA from 1 species